GUUUCUGGUUCUUUAGGCCUAGAUGAGAAGACGUUGAAACCGGUCGAGGGUGGAGCAGCGGCUGAGGCUAGGCAAUCACUAAAAAAUAUCCACGCGAUACUUAAACAUGCUGGCACUUCAUUCGAUAAAAUUGCUAAGACCACAGUACUGCUGAAUGAUAUUAACAAUGCCAAGUUUGUAAACGAAGUCUAUCAAGAAUUUGUAAAAGAACCGUAUCCGGCCAGAUCGACUUAUCAAGUGGCUAAAUUACCAUUGG